rnacentral:rRNA from 1 species
UGGGGAAUCUUGCACAAUGGGGGCAACCCUGAUGCAGCGACGCCGCGUGAGCGAUGAAGCCCUUCGGGGCGUAAAGCUCUUUCGACCGGAACGAUAAUGACGGUACCGGGAGAAGAAGCUGCGGCUAACUACGUGCCAGCAGCCGCGGUAAUACGUAGGCAGCAAGCGUUGUUCGGAGUUACUGGGCGUAAAGAGUGCGUAGGCGGUUUUCUAAGUUCGGUGUGAAAUCGCCCGGCUUAACUGGGAGGGUGCGCCGAAAACUGGUUGGCUGGAGUAUGGGAGAGGAAAGCGGAAUUCCUGGUGUAGCGGUGAAAUGCGUAGAUAUCAGGAGGAACACCUGCGGUGUAGACAGCUUUCUGGACCAAAACUGACGCUGAGGCACGAAAGCGUGGGUAACAAACA